rnacentral:rRNA from 1 species
UGGCCUGUGAGGGUUGCUGGAGGUAUCAGAAGUGCGAAUGCUGACAUAAGUAACGAUAAAGCGGGUGAAAAGCCCGCUCGCCGGAAGACCAAGGGUUCCUGUCCAACGUUAAUCGGGGCAGGGUGAGUCGACCCCUAAGGCGAGGCCGAAAGGCGUAGUCGAUGGGAAACGGGUUAAUAUUCCCGUACUUGGUGUUACUGCGAAGGGGGGACGGAGAAGGCUAUGUUGGCCGGGCGACGGUUGUCCCGGUUUAAGCGUGUAGGUGUGUGUUCCAGGUAAAUCCGGUUCACUUUAACACUGAGGCGUGACGACGAGGCACUACGGUGCUGAAGCAACAAAUGCCCUGCUUCCAGGAAAAGCCUCUAAGCAUCAGGUAACAUCAAAUCGUACCCCAAACCGACACAGGUGGUCAGGUAGAGAAUACCAAGGCGCUUGAGAGAACUCGGGUGAAGGAACUAGGCAAAAUGGUGCCGUAACUUCGGGAGAAGGCACGCUGACACGUAGGUGAAGUGAUUUACUCAUGGAGCUGAAGUCAGUCGAAGAUACCAGCUGGCUGCAACUGUUUAUUAAAAACACAGCACUGUGCAAACACGAAAGUGGACGUAUACGGUGUGACGCCUGCCCGGUGCCGGAAGGUUAAUUGAUGGGGUCAGCGCAAGCGAAGCUCCUGAUCGAAGCCCCGGUAAACGGCGGCCGUAACUAUAACGGUCCUAAGGUAGCGAAAUUCCUUGUCGGGUAAGUUCCGACCUGCACGAAUGGCGUAAUGAUGGCCAGGCUGUCUCCACCCGAGACUCAGUGAAAUUGAACUCGCUGUGAAGAUGCAGUGUACCCGCGGCAAGACGGAAAGACCCCGUGAACCUUUACUAUAGCUUGACACUGAACAUUGAGCCUUGAUGUGUAGGAUAGGUGGGAGGCUUUGAAGUGUGGACGCCAGUCUGCAUGGAGCCGACCUUGAAAUACCACCCUUUAAUGUUUGAUGUUCUAACGUGGACCCGUUACCCGGGUUGCGGACAGUGUCUGGUGGGUAGUUUGACUGGGGCGGUCUCCUCCUAAAGAGUAACGGAGGAGCACGAAGGUUGGCUAAUCCUGGUCGGACAUCAGGAGGUUAGUGCAAUGGCAUAAGCCAGCUUGACUGCGAGCGUGACGGCGCGAGCAGGUGCGAAAGCAGGUCAUAGUGAUCCGGUGGUUCUGAAUGGAAGGGCCAUCGCUCAACGGAUAAAAGGUACUCCGGGGAUAACAGGCUGAUACCGCCCAAGAGUUCAUAUCGACGGCGGUGUUUGGCACCUCGAUGUCGGCUCAUCACAUCCUGGGGCUGAAGUAGGUCCCAAGGGUAUGGCUGUUCGCCAUUUAAAGUGGUACGCGAGCUGGGUUUAGAACGUCGUGAGACAGUUCGGUCCCUAUCUGCCGUGGGCGCUGGAGAACUGAGGGGGGCUGCUCCUAGUACGAGAGGACCGGAGUGGACGCAUCACUGGUGUUCGGGUUGUCAUGCCAAUGGCACUGCCCGGUAGCUAAAUGCGGAAGAGAUAAGUGCUGAAAGCAUCUAAGCACGAAACUUGCCCCGAGAUGAGUUCUCCCUGAGACUUAAAGUCUCCUGAAGGAACGUUGAAGACGACGACGUUGAUAGGCCGGGUGUGUAAGCGCAGCGAUGCGUUGAGCUAACCGGUACUAAUGAACCGUGAGGCUUAACCUUACAACGCCGAAG